rnacentral:lncRNA from 1 species
AUAUUAUCAUCAUGUUCCUGGCAAAAAUAAUUGGUGUCUGCAGGAAACACAACAUACCUGUAUUGCAGAUGAUGUAAUAAGAAAAAUCUCCGCACCAGAUUUGGCCAUGUGUGGCCGUCAGAGAUUUUUUUAUGUAUUUAAAGGUAAGGAUAUUCUAGUUACAGUACCCUGUUGCUCAAAUAACAAGAUAAUGAUUUAUAUGCUUAAUAAACAAUAAACUAAUCAGAAAACAAGUAACUGUCAAAAUUAUAUAGGUCUUGAAUUAAUAGUGUGAGAGAAUUAGUAACCUACGUUUUAUAUGUUUUUUUUUAUCGUUUGUGUUUUCUUUCAAUACAACAAAUACACAAACUGACUAAACAUUGACAAAAGGGCACCCUUCAAAGUCACAAGACCAACAAAUCAUAAUAGCCCAGGACAGAAAAAAGCUAAUGAACAAUUUGUAAACGAACACAGCCUAUAUAUAUAUAUAGAUGUUAACUUAACAAUAAACAAGAAAACAGGAAAUUGUCACAAGUUCCUGUCUUUUGGGAUGUGGUAACAAGUUUUGUUUUUAAUCACUGAAGUUUUCCAUACCAUGCAAUUUAACAAACAAUAAAAAUGAGAAUGUAGACAUUCAAUAAUAUGGAACUUAUUCAAAAUGCUGUUUUCAACAAGAACACUAUUAAACAUUUUCAUUAUUUCAAUUCUAAAUGAUGUAUAACAUUAAUUUAACUUUAAUUGUUUCUUUUCAGAUCUUUGAGAUAAAUACAACUGAGAAACAGUGGGGAAAAAACAGCAGACAGCAGAAUAAACUUUGAAAUUGUUUUAAUAAAUAAUUAUAAUUUGAAUAACUGUGGCUUAAUUACAAAUUGGUGUUGUGGCAUAUACUUUUUUUACAUUCAGUUCAUCUCUUGUGUUUGGAAGUGUAGAGUUGUGUUCAUUUUCUUGAUCUAGUAUACAUUAGGAUUUCAGGGCUUGCUGAAGACCUUCUCUGGGUGCAGAAUUUCUUGAUGUCGAAGACCUAUUGGUGGCCUUGAGUUGUUUUGUACGUCUUGGUCAGGUUGUUGUCUCAUAUUUCCCAUUUCCAUUCUUAUUCAAUUUAAGAUCUUUUAAUAGUUUACCGUUAAAUGUGUUGAUCUAAUAAGCUCUUUAAAAAAAACUGUUAGAAGAAAAGAGUUGGUGUCAAUACAGUCACAAGAUUAACAAACUCAGUACAUAUUGGGAAACUUUUGACCAAACUACUGACACAAUUACAUCUGCUUCAUAUUUAGACUUUUUUCUCGAAAUGACUUCUGAUGGUAGGUUAAAUACCAAAAUUUAUGACAAACA